UUAUUGAAUGUCUGGGUGGAUUGACUAAAUGGAAAACAUCCAAGUCCAGAAGAUGAGAAUUUUCUGAAAUCCACGCAAGGCAAAAUAUAAAUGGGAAUUAUUCAUUGGUGUUCAAAUCCGUGCUGCCUUUUCCACAUCUCAUUUCUGAAUUCCAAGGACAGUUUUCUGCAACAGAGACUUUGACAAAACUGACAGAAGGUGCUGCAGUCGGGAGGUACUACUGUAACAUUUUGAUGGCUUCUUUGCCCCUGAGUGACAGACAACAGUUUUUUCCAAGUGGGUCAAGCUAUCAUCUUCUGGCUAGUAACAGAGACAGGACACUGGGCUAGAUGGUCUCUUCUUCUGACUCAACGCGAGUAUUUCUUUCAUGCUGAUAUGCCUUACCAAGAGAUGGAUCAGCCCUAUCUGCAUCAUUCCUGAAACAUCUGGACUUGCUUCUGCGUGCUUGGGAGAAGUCUUUAGUGAGAAAGAAGCAGUGGGAGAUUCAGGAGAAAAGCAGGG